rnacentral:rRNA from 1 species
UAGAGUUUUGAUCAUGGCUCAGAUUGAACGCUGGCGGCAGGCUUAACACAUGCAAGUCGAGCGGUAACAGAUCCAGCUUGCUGGAUGCUGACGAGCGGCGGACGGGUGAGUAAUGCAUAGGAAUCUGCCCAGUAGUUGGGGAUAGCCCGGGGAAACCCGGAUUAAUACCGAAUACGCCCUACGGGGGAAAGCAGGGGAUCUUCGGACCUUGCGCUAUUGGAUGAGCCUAUGUCGGAUUAGCUAGUUGGUGGGGUAAUGGCUUACCAAGGCGACGAUCCGUAGCUGGUCUGAGAGGAUGAUCAGCCACAUCGGGACUGAGACACGGCCCGAACUCCUACGGGAGGCAGCAGUGGGGAAUAUUGGACAAUGGGGGCAACCCUGAUCCAGCCAUGCCGCGUGUGUGAAAAAGGCUUUCGGGUUGUAAAGCACUUUCAGUGAGGAGGAAAACCUUACCAUUAAUACUCGUGAGGCUUGACGUUUCUCACAGAAAAAGCACCGGCUAACUCCGUGCCAGCGCCGCGGUAAUACGGAGGGUGCAAGCGUUAAUCGGAAUUA